UGGCCUGGAGCUUCCAUUCUGCAGCUUGGUUCAGGAGCUGUGUUUUGGGCAACAGAGAGAAAAUUGUUAGAUCCCUGUUUUUUUCAGCUGAAAAUCCUCAGCCUCCAGCUACAUAUGCUUCUGUUGCUGCUACCUUGGUAAGGAAUAAUUUAACUCAGAUGAAUGUAGGAAGAGGCGACAGGCAAGAUCGAAUAUUUAUUGCUAUCCUCAGGAGAGGAACGGGGCAUUUUGUUAGAAAAGACAUGUCUGAAUAUUAGUUUAAAAACUGCUUGGAAUGAAGUGUGUAGUACAGUAUGCUCUAAGAAGUAUGGUAUUUAAGCAUAUCUUCAUGUGACCUGUAGAGUGUGGUUAUGACACCUUCUGGCAUUGUCAUUUCAGCAUGGCUCAGGCUAAAUUUCAGCUCUCCUGUGAAUGGCAGACUCCUUUUUGCAAUAAUGAUCCAGACUUAGCAUACAGAUGUGGUCAAAGUCAGGCAUGUCUCAAAAAAUCUGCUAGCUUCCAGAAAGGGAAUGCACAGUAAAUGUCAUGCAAAAUCAAGCUCUGGUGUCUGUUAUCUUACGGCUCCAUUUGCAUUGACAUGCCAUCAGCAGAAACUCCCAGCUCAGGGUGAUAAAUGCCUCACUUAGAUCAAGGAGGCAGCCCAAGAAGAGUUUGAUUGCAGUUUCAUCCCUGGCUGCUCCUGGGAAGAUGUUAUCCCUACUUCAAGGCAUUAGCAAAAUGACCUUGGGACGUGUAGACUGCACGUUGGAGGUUCAGCUGAGGGUGAAUGAAUUGUAGGAAAAGGUGUAUAGACACUUCUACAGGUUGCAGUUUGGAAUCAGCACUUACAAACUAUUCUAACAAUUGGUUUAUUUGAACCCAGGGAACAUUUAUUGAAGUGUUAAAGAAACUUCUAGUGCCUAACAAUCAUGUAUACAGUGUUACUUUUACUGGUUAGGCUAAAUGUAUUUCAGGAAAAAAAAUGCUAAUGAUAGCUUGAGAAAUGAAAUAUAAACAAUUUCAUUUGCCACAGGAUUUUCUUCUGUGGGACUAAAUUGUACCAUUUAAAAUGGCACAGUUGGGCUUUGAAAAUAUAUUGAAAAUUACUUUAUAAGUCAACAGAACCCACUCAUACUGGAAGGGAAAGGUGAGUAGAACCACGUGCAGAAAAUGUGUUUGAGCCUAGUAAAAACCUUGAUCCUAAAUAUUUAGUUAGAAAUAACACAUGCAAACUACUUGAAUGUCACCUGGCAAAAGGGCUGAAGAUGUAUGCUAUAAAUGCUGAUUAAACAAUAUAAUGACUUCUCUCCUUCUCCAGCUAUUUGUGGCACAGAAACUGAAUUACACUUGUUGCAUAUAUAUACAUAUAAAUACGUAAGCUCUAAAAGAUACAUUUUCUCCAUCCAUUUGGCCUUUUGAUUCAGAACCACUGAAUUAUUAGCAUCUACAAUUUUGAGAAUAAGAAUGAUUUGCAGCUUACCCAUGCAUUGUAUGAAGAAAUACCAUGUGCUGUUAGUUUUAUAUUUGCCUCUUAAUUAUUAUUUUAAGAAUUUAAUUUAAUGCUUGUUUCAAUUGAGGUAAGUCAAAUUCUGAGUUUAGAUCUUGUGGGCUAAAAUUUCAAGAUUUCAAAUAGGUCAUGUCAGCAUGUCCUAGCUAUCAAAAUGAUGUGAUAGGAAGAGGCCUAGGUUAAAUGGGUCUCAGCAUUUGUUUUCCUGGGAGGAUGUUCCUUGCACAUAAAAAAUAUUUUUUAAAGUUUGAAUGAAAUCUGUAUUUUUAAGUUUCAGGUUUCUGUGAUAUCUACUUGGUGAUUUUUUUUUUUUUAAAUUUAUUUUCAUUUGAGGAUUUAUAGGGUGUUUGGAUCGAAUGUUUAUUGGAAAGUUCUUUGAAGCUCUUCAGAGCUACCCAGUCUCCAGGACAGUCAUUGCUUCCAAGAACUGGGCUUUUAUUUGUAUUCCUUAAAUCUUGUCUAGGGUUACCUUCUUAUCUUGUGUGCCUGGGAUAAUGAAAAGGUCUUGUCUCCCCUGCCAUGUCUUCUGCCACAGUAUGAUAGAUGUGAGAUGGGCAGAGAAAGCAAAGUUGCUUCUUUUGCCUACUAAUGAAAUAUUUCUUCUCCACUAUUGACCCACAUAGCUUCUGUAGCUAGUUAAAAUCCAAGAGUUAAUAAACUCUUCUGUAAGGGAAGCAAGCCACAGAGAGGUUUGCUCAAAUUAAUGUGCACUCUUAUGCAGCUUGGGGUCAUCUACAAACACCAAGCUGAGAGAAACUGCACCAGGAGAACUGACACAUUUAUUAAUUGGCUAUGAAGUGGUAACAAGGAGGCUGAAGUAUAAAGAAAUGAUUAAAUACUGCAUGUGGUGUUUACAAAACAGAACUUCUACGAAGCCUGGUGUUGUUAGACUAUAUCAUUAGAGCUACGAUAGCUGCUGGAGACUCAGGCAGUCACAUCAUGCUCUGGUCUGAAAGAGCCAGUCCCCAAGAACACACAUUCUAAUUUAAUGACAUGGACCUAGGGGCUGGUCUAGUGAAAAUUAGGUUUCCCUUUUUUUUGGUGCCAGAUUUUGCACAAUUCCGAUUAUGUAGAAAUCUGAUCAUUGUCUUCCAGUCACACACUUGAAGGCCACAGAUGCUUUAAACUGCAGUUAGCUACAAAACAAAGUUUGCUUUACAAGUGCUAAAAAUGUCUUGUAUGUCAAGGAAGUCCCAGGUAGUGCUGACCAGUAAUGGGAUGAUACUAAAACUGCAUCUUUAGGUCAGGCUGACCAUUUGGGAAAGCCACACAGCAAAACAAAUGAUUGCUGCUUACUCAGGGAAUCACAUUCUUGUUGCAUGUGAAGAAUGAAUUGUGUGAGAAUGAGUCAAUCUGCCUGUUGAGCUGUGAUGUGCAGAGGCUGCAGGAGAGGACAUCUCUCCCUGAAUGAGGUAAAGGAAUUUUUUAUAAGAGCAAAGAUUCCUACAUGGAAGAACUGCACAGAAAAACAUCAAAGUGAGCCUCCAAGGAUCAAUCAAAUUGAUAAAACAGUAUAAAAAUUCUCAUUUAAAGAUAUUUGCAAAGUCCUGCAGCAAACUGAUGCAGAAGGAUGUCAAAAAAAAAGGUAUGUAGAGAACUGCUGUGUACAGGGUGCUGGAGUGCAGCAAGGCUCUGACUGCACAUUUGAGCUGGAGAGAGAGCAAGCUAAUGAAAGGACUCAGUCAAAAACACCUUAAUUUCAUAUAUAUAUAUGUGUGUGUGUGUGUGUGUAUAUAUAUAUUCAUACCCCCACAUGAUAGCUGGGUGGGUGGGAGUAAGAGCUCAGCAGUAUGACUGAGGGGGUGAAUGUGUAGGCUAGCUCUCAGUGCUGGGCUACCUGUGAUGAAUUUUGACAUACUGGUCACGCCUUGUCUCAUGGCAUGGCUUUUGGCCAGUCACUUAAGUUUUCCAGCUAAAGCUACCUUGCUCUGAGGUGAUGUUACUAAUAUAUCACCAAGCUACCUCAAAGGCAGAGUUUUGAGCAUUAGCUUGGAAAGUAUGAAAAAAAAUCUUUGAACACAGUGCGUAUAAUUAUACACCCACUACUUAAAGUCUUUGUAUCUUGUUUUCGAACCUGUUAUUUCAUAGGUGCUAGUCAUACAUUCAGCAAAGCCACAAAGGAAAUCUCCCACUCCCAAAUGUAGAUGAAUAAAAUGCAGAGGGAAGAUUUGGCUACAAUCAGGGCCAGGCACUGUAGCAGACAGCAGCAAAGCUCAUAUUAUCUGAGGCACUGCAAGAAUGGUCAUUGGUACAAGGCUGUGUUUGUGAACUUUCCACAAGGUCACGCUGUCUUUUGGAUUUUAUUUUAUUUUUUCAAUAUUUGAAAAUAUAGCAAAACUCAUAGUGACAGUAGUAAAGUAAGCCCAACUUUGCCUUGUCAUUUUGAAGGAUUUCUUAGAAAUGUUCCCUGGGGUUUGAACCUGCUUAGGAUGAACUGUCAUGGAUUAAAUUUUGGACUUUGGCUUUAAAUAGACCCCACAGUGAAAGGGCACUCAGCUGGACCAUACAUUGUCAUGCAGAGACGUGUAUGUGCACCUGGAGAAGUCCCAGCUCCUCUUCCCCCUCAGUUUGUUAGCUGGCAGUAGAGUUUGAGCAGGAGUGGGUGUCCCAGCCACAAGAUCAGUGCAGAGAAAGAGGAUAAAAUCUCUUAUGAACAACUUCUGGUGAGAGGUGUUUGCUAUGUUUCCCUUGUGUGCUGUCCACAGGGCUUAGAGCCCCACAGUUUCAUCCACAUUUUACGGCAUUUUGGCUAUGCUUCUACUAAUGUAUCUCUUUUCUGACAAAAAAGAAAUACAUAUUCCUUCAGAGCUCUCUAAUGCAGCUCCUGAGCUAGCUACAGGACUGGAAAGGACUAAAGGUUUCCUCAAGCUGCUGAGAGCCUGAUGCUCCCCUGUACUUAGCCUCAGCUGCUGCCACCACAGAGAAAAUGAUCUGGGUGCCAGUGAUGAACGCUGGUAGAUGUUAGAAUUACUGUGAAAAUACCAGGCAGCCUGAGGAAGUGAGUUUUGGUCUGCCUCAGGCACAAGACAUGUGAGGCCAGGGAGGGGUGUCCUCCCCCUGUUCCAGCUGUGCCUGUGGGGACAUCCUGCCUAGAGCUGCUCUUUGCUGUUCCCCUACCAGAGGUGUCCCUCCACCAGGCAGGGAGGAGCAGCAAAUGAGUCUGUGAAAUGAACCUGGGCUCUACUGGACAGACCAAUGUGGGGAGGGAGCCUCUGCAGGAGAGAAGGGGGCCCUGAUGCUCCCGUGGUCUCUUCCAUUGGCAAAACCAGACCCACAGGAGGGCGUCUGGGGAGGCUGAGUCUGGGGUGGGUACCAGCCUUCUGCUGAUUUAAUCACAUGUCCUUGUUCUUCUUGUUCUUGUUUAAAUGUGCUCAUUUGCCAUGUGAGGAGCUGGAGCAUCCAAUAUCAGAGCCGUUUGGAAACUAAUGGCAUCAUCUGACACAACAUCAUGAUGAAUCAACUGUGCAGUAGCGGUACAGCUCUGAGCAGGGAGAAGACUGACCAGGUGCCUCCACUUCAAGUAGUCAAAUACAAGAGUGAAAAACUGAACAUGUUUGGAGUCUUAUUCCUAUGGCUUCAAAACUCCCUUCCCCCAAGAUACUUCAUUGUUUCAAUGGACCAAACAGUGUUAUAACACAGUGUCACUGCUGUGAUUUAAAGCUCACUGGAGUAAUAAAUCCAUCUGAAUAUAAAAUA